GCCUCAAUAGCGCAGUGGUUAGCACGCCAGCUCCGGAAAGGGUGAAACGCGGGUUCAACUCCCACCAGAGGUU